CCGACUACCAAAACACAUUUGUAGCUUAUCAGCAGUAAGGGGCGUGUCUACUAACCGACAUCCUUGCCAGGGUUGCAUAUGUGUGGGGCAGAUCUAUCAAAAGAAGGUCCAGAUUUUAUUGGGGUAGGGGCAUGUUUGUUUAGGUGAUUUCAAAUGUCAACAUUGGCUUUCAAACAUUGUGCACUCCGCCUUUAAAGGAUCUGUGUUUAUUAAGAUGCUAUUGAUUGCUAAUUGUCUUUGUGACAUUGUAUUUGAGUUUGGAUCAAUUAAAACGUUGAAGGUAUCUUGACAGUCACUCAAAACGUAUACUUACGAAGGCAAAGACCCUCAGGGAAUAGCUCUUUAAAGAGCCUUUGGGACUUUUGUAGCUGCUUUUGACACAAAAAGGAAGAAAAAGAGAAAACAUGACUAGAUUUGAACAGACAUAUCUCACUCAUAUUCAGUAUUUUCUGUUUUAUCAGUGAUUAUUGACUAAACUCUGUUAAGAUGAAAAUUUCAAAUAUUAGAUGUAGGAUGCUAGAAUGUUUUAUACAUUAAAGAACUGUAUUAAGAUGCUGUUUAUUGCUAAUUGGCUUUUUGACAUUGUUUCAAUUGAUUCAGACUCAAAACAGUCAGUCAAAAGGUAUACUUACGAAGACAAAGAAACUCAGGGGAUAGCUCUUAAAAGACACUCACUGGAGCUGUAAAUGGGAAGCAGAAAUACUCUUUAACCUGCCCACUGGAGCUGGGAAUGCAAUUUGGGACAUUCUUCCAUUUGUCGGCAACUUUGUGAAAAAGGCUAGAAACUAAAAUGCAGAAUUCUGGCCUGGUGUUUGGUCUGUGCUGUCUUUGGCUCUUGCAUCUCCAUCAUCCUGACCCUCUUUAGCAGCCUGUCCAUGUAUUUAUUUGGAGGCCACCAUGAGCACCCAUCUGCAUAAUAUGACUUUGUUACUCAAAUGUCCAUGCGCUCCUACAAAUUCUACAUUUUUUGUAAAGCUGCAACAAGUUGAAACCCUAUAAUUAUUAACGUUUGAAUUUGAACUAUGUAAUUAAAAUACAUGAAUAAGUAACAAAAGCAGAAAUCUAUUAAGACAUUACCUUUUUGUUGCUUGUUUACUGAUCUAUCAAUCCUUUUGCAUUUUCAUAAUUGAUCAUCAUAACUUGGUAUACAGUGGAUGUGUGGCUGUAGAUAACUUUCUGAAGUCAAUUUAAAAAGACAAAAGUUAAUAAAUGCUGAAUUGGUCAAAUAUACAUUGUUGUAUUUCCACCAUUUUGAUGUUUAGGCAUUUCAUAACUUGAGGGUUAAUUCACGUAUACUGAUGUUUCAAAUCAAAGAUUAAUUUAUUAAUGACAGCUAAUUAUUUUAUAAAGAUUUUUAUUACAAUAUUUAUUUAUAUAAUAUAAAUUUAAUACAUUUAAUUCGUUACACCUACAUCACUGAGCGCAAGGGAGUGCAGCCAACAAAUACAUUCAGGUGUGUUUGACUUAACACCGAGAUGCGCAGACAGCACGUGGUAUGACAUCAAAGUACCGCGAGAGUUUGGGAAAGCCCCGGAAAAGGUUUUGAACUCGCGGUAUUUGAUGUCACGAUCGGUUUGCGUGUAGAUCAGCAUGAAGUCGAACACAUCUGAAAGAUGUGUGGGCUGCCUGCACUCAACGUUGCGAUAAUUCAGUAGAGUGUAACCUCAGUCGUUUUUUGCAGCUUCUGGGUGUCGUGUCGAACGAUAGCAGAACGAUCUUUUGUUCUUUUCCAACUCGAUUUUUAACUCCCUAAACUAGUAGGAUGUUCCAACGGGUGAAGCAACAGUGCUGACGGCAGAGUUUCAGUGUCAAUGCUCCGUCCUAGAAGGCUGCAUGUCUCGGCUGCCACGUCAUCAAGCAUCGUCGAAGGACAUCUCAAUCUGCUUGUUUUCUCUUUUGUUGUUUUAAUUUAAUUACAAAAUGUUUAACUGUCCAUGUUGUAAAGACAGUUGAUUACAUAACUUUUAUUUACUGUACUACAUUAUUGGAUUUUUUUUGGUGAUGCAUUGCUAAUUUUCAACUUCUCACUUUAAAGUUUUCAUGCCAUGAUCACUGGGGUGGAAACCAUUAUGACGUUGCCUUGGACAUCAAACUAAACCAUCUCAUUCUGGCUUUUUUCUAACAUCGAAAUCUCAGAAGGACAGGACUAAGAUGGACGCAGCCUCCACAGGAUGCAACCUUGCAUUUGAGGAACACCCAUAGAACGAUUAACCUAACCCAGUGUUUCUCAAACUUUUUCUGCCAUUCCCCACUUUGGAGGUAGGGAAGGGUUUCGAGCCCCACCUGUCCUUAAUCGCCCAAACAAAAUGGUAAUCAACUAGGCUUUAAGUUUAACUGUUAAAAUGUAUUUAAUCAC